ACUACAUCACUGAGUAGGCGUGAACCAAAACUGCAUUUUAAAGUGUUCUCGUGACAUCUACAGCGAGCCAGACAGUUAGGAAGAACGAGUCCAACAUGGAAUUAAUUGAUUUCAAAGCCACAAUCUUCAGCUCCGGUGUGGGAACAUUUUGCCUUUAAGCCGAACGAGAGAGGAGAGAUAAACGUGAACGAGCG